CAUGCUCUCAAACUGAAAAUCUAUGCUCUUGAUUAAUGACAUGAUUUAACUUCCAUACAUUAGCUAUUAAGCAAAAUAAAGUUAACACAUGGUUAAAGUUUGCCUAUAUAUGAUCACUUGUCGCUCUCAGCAAGUUAGGUUCAACCAUCAACCAUAAUCUUUACCUGAGGCAAAUAAUAUUUUAUUAUAACAUUAAGAGAAACUCCUACAUUUUCUAUGAUAUCUUAUUGUGUUUUUAUUUAUCAUAGUUGUUUCUCACACAUUUGUAGAACAUAAAACAUCCUGGAUAUCAAAAAGACAGUAAUGUUGCCAACUGCUAAUGUCAGGAAAUAAUUUGAUAUUUUUUGAUGAAAUACUAUAUCUAUAGGAACCUGACAUGUCUCUGUUAAGCCCACUAUGAGGCUAAUAUGAUCCUACUCAAUAUUUGCAAUCAGUGUUUAAUAUCAACCUUAUUUUUGCGUAUUUUUCUUUCUGUCUAUCUUUAAAUCAUAUUAAUUGAAACAGUAGAUUCGUUUUUUCUUGAGAUACUAUGGUCUACAUGAAUAAUAGAGUAAUAACCUGACCCUGUAUGCAUGGUCUAGUGAUAUAGGCUAAUGUUGUUUGUUUUCCUUUUCAGCAGAAUGCCAGGAUCCACAAUGAAAACGUGCAUAUCUUGCAAGCAACACAUACGUGUUGCUUGCAAGAUAUGCAAGCUUUGUGGGGCACAGCAGCCCAUGAAAAAAAAAUCAUCAGGGCAAAGAACAAGGCUACGAAGGAAUGGGGAGAGAAGCUGAAGAAAGGGGGGAAUAUUGCCAAACUUUUUGAUGCUGCACGGAUUCUGAUUCGCAAGUUCAAGAUGGCGGGUUUACACCCACUGCUUUUAUAUGGUCACUCCAAAAAAGAGACUGUGUGCUGUGGCAAGCUCUGUGGGCUGGAUUUAGUCACGGGACCGAAGAGGAGAGCAUUCAGUCCAUCCACACUCUGUAUGAGAGAAUCUUGAAAGGUUAGUCCAUAGAAUACUUUAUUGGUGCUUUUUUAUUCAUAUUUCAUCUUACCGUAAUUUAUCACUGAUUCAUCACAAGAUAUUUCAGACCACCCGUAUAAAGGGGUUAAACUUGCAUGAGUCGUGCAAGUAUUGUCUGAGCCCUGUUUUGUGCAUAUGUAGCAUUUAUACAUGAAUCCCCUGGUUUAUAUCAUCUACCAGGCACCAAAGAAGACCUGCUCAGUACCUUCUGGAGUGAUGGAUAAUAUCAUGCCAACACUAUAGUUUCUGCCAUUUUUCCUGGUUUUCUUAGUUACAGGGUUAGAAAUAAUUAGAAUUGUAAUGAUGUUCAUCUCCACUCACUCAUAUAGGUAAUGUUAGGACUUCACAGUCACCUGAACACACAAUGGAUGCAAAAUAGAUAAAAAUACAGAUUUUCAAAGAGCAGCAAAAUAUCUAGGAAUUGUUUGUGGGAACCAUUAGCUUAGAAUUGUUGAUGCAUUUGGUUCUCACAACAUUGGUUCACAAUCUCAGUUAUCAAUCUGUCAUGUUUCAAUUACGUACUUAUUGAGCUGACAAGUGUCUUGUAUCCUGAACUUAAAAUGAGAGGACCUAUGUAAAUUAUGGUCAGACUCAUUAUUUGAGUCAAGGACAAAUGGUAAAAUGAAGAACAAUCACAACAAUCAGAUCUACAACUUGUUCCAUGACAACAGACUGACUGAAAUGUUGGGGUCCAAUACAUUAACAAAUUGGCUUUCUAUAAACAAGACCAGCACACGGUAGUUCUAAAUUUUAGCACCGUGCAGGUGUAAGAAGAAUAUGAAAAUAG
ensembl:lncRNA